rnacentral:misc_RNA from 1 species
UAAUAAGUGUUUUAUGGCACUUUUUUAAAUCCAUAUCCACCUUGUGUGCAAUGUCAGGGUUGGGUUUCUCUCUCUUUUGAGGGAUAUUUCAACCCCAAACAUCAACUCUUAUCUCAACUCUUUGUCUGAAAAAUAUUAUGAAUAAAACAAUUCAAAAUA